rnacentral:rRNA from 1 species
UACGUAGGGUGCAAGCGUUGUCCGGAAUUAUUGGGCGUAAAGAGCUCGUAGGUGGCCUGUCGCGUCGGCAUGUGAAACUCGGGGCUCAACUCCGAGCGUUGCGAGUCGGAUACGGGCAGGCUAGAGGUUCGGCAGGGGAGACUGGAAUUCCUGGUGUAGCGGUGAAAUGCGCAGAUAUCAGGAGGAACACCUGUGGUGAGUGAGACAGCUUACUGGGACCAUUUCUGACGCUGAGACACGAAAAGCGUGGGUAGCAAACAGG